AACGAACGCUGGCGGCAUGCCUAACACAUGCAAGUCGAACGAGACCUUCGGGUCUAGUGGCGCACGGGUGCGUAACGCGUGGGAACCUGCCUUUAGGUUCGGGAAUAACUCAGAGAAAUUUGAGCUAAUACCGGAUGAUGUCUUCGGACCAAAAGAUUUAUCGCCUUUAGAUGGGCCCGCGUAAGAUUAGCUAGUUGGUGGGGUAAAGGCCUACCAAGGCGACGAUCUUUAGCUGGUCUGAGAGGAUGAUCAGCCACACUGGGACUGAGACACGGCCCAGACUCCUACGGAGG
rnacentral:rRNA from 1 species